GACGUAGGGGGCUAGCGUUGUCCGGAAUUACUGGGCGUAAAGCGCGCGUAGGCGGCUUGGUCAGCGGUGGGUGCAAUUUCGGGGCUCAACUCCGAAACUGCUCGCCGAACUGCCAGGCUAGAGUACGGGAGAGGGCAGUGGAAUUCCCGGUGUAGCGGUGGAAUGCGUAAAUAUCGGGAAGAACUCCAGUGGCGAAGGCUGCUGCCUGGAACGUUACUGACGCUAAGGCGCGAAAGCUAGGGGAGCGAACGGGAUUAGAUACCCGCGUA
rnacentral:rRNA from 1 species